rnacentral:lncRNA from 1 species
CAGACCAAAAAGAAUUAUUGUUUUAAUAGGCCCAAAUGUUUUAUUAAAAUGAUUGAUUUUAAGGUGGCCCAAUCUCACCUUGGAAAAGAUUGGUGACGACUCCAUUUGCAUUUUUAAAGUCAAUUCACGUUUUUAAAAACUUAAAAAUGGUUUCGACAGUAUGGCUUUACUGUUUUUUGUUGUUUUUGUUUAUUUUCGCUAUUUGCUCUGUGUAUUCACAA